AGGCCGGGUCGUAGGGCACACACGAAGACUGGUCCGUCACUAGGCCACCAUCUGGGUCACGGUCCUUGGUGUCGGGUACCCUGCAGGAGUUGCAGCAGUCUGCUCUGUUAUCGAAGUUCAGGUUCGAGUAAGCAAAGCAUCCAGCUGAAAUCCCAGCUGGUCACCAUGCCUCCUGGACGUGCAUCUGCUGGGCACGGCGGAAGCUGUUCCGGAUUAUGGCCCUGCUCACUGCUCUCAGGGGUUUUCAGGGUAGUGUGAACCGACCUGUGAGUUUCGGGCCGGGAUAUUAGUGUUGGAACCUUGUGGAAGAGGAGCUGGAUCUUUAUCCUCAUAGGUCAAUGUGAGAUUUAAAAAUUCUUUGACUCCACCACAGCCACCUCCUAAGUGUAGUGGCAGCUUUCAGGAAAGCAUAGAGUCUUACAGUAUUGUCCUUCACAAAGACAGACUGAACUUUAGCUAUACCGGCACUAUGGAGCGGUCACCCAUGCCACUUUUUAGUGUCAUUGUACACAAAAGUCGGGGUGGGUCAUGAAAUCUGGUGCUCUAAGUUUUUUCUAAUCUAUUCAGAAUCUUUUUUUUUUCUUUUUGCUCUUAAUACCAGCGCUCAUGUUCAGGGGUUCUCGAUCCAUGUCUCCUAGAAGACCUAAAAACUUGUAAAGCCCGUCUGUUUAAAAUUAGAACUAUCAGGGAACUCUACUGAGUAGGAAAAAUAAGCUCAUCUUAAAGGACGCAGAGUGCAUGACUGACUGCAUGUCUCACCUUCGAGAGCUAACAGUUCCAGAGAGCAGAUGAGUGAUUCCCAGGGUUAGGGAUGGGGGGUGACUGUGACGCGGAAGUGGUGGCAUGAGAAGGCUGGUGUAAGGAGCAGUUAAGUACCGUAAUUUUAAAGGAGACAGAUGCACAGCUAGAUGAGAAGAUGCAUAGGGCGAGGUGUGGAAGGCCCCUUAGUGCAGAGCGUCAGUUCUGUGGAGUUGGGGAACACCAUCCGCCCAGCCCCGGGGAAGUUUCAUGUUCCCCUUCCUGCAGGCCUCUGCUUGUUCAGCUGUCCAGUGGUCUCCAAACCCUGCCCUUGGGGUCUUUAUUAAGACUUUGUGGCACAGGCCUGGAAUGCCCAUAGACUGGGUAGGAAACCCAGCAAGACCUGUCUGUUCAAAUUCUUGGCCUUUCUUUGUAGUAGUCUUUCCUCCCAGGUAUGGGGCCAGGAGACUUCUGGAAUGAGGUUCUUAAAGGUGGAAGACCAGUUUCUGAAACUCGUCUUAGGGCUAGUUUCUGUGACCCGCCUUGGAGAGCUUCAGGAACUAACAAUAAGGCCCAACUACUUAAGAGCCAUGAACCCUGGAUGGAAACUAAAAUAUGCCAGCAACUCACACAGAGAAUCUAUAGGGAUUUCAAAAGUUUAAAGGUUAAAAAAAUAGAAAAGGAUUUUUACUAACAAGCUAGCACUUUUCGUGGCUACUGAGAUCUGGAUCUUUUUAAAUGAGGAGGAAGUUAAGAUCUGUACAAGCUUAGGGGUAUCUUCCCAUCUAGGUGCCCAGUCCCUGAGGCUCUGGAGCCCCACCUCCCCCACCCCCCAGUGCCUUCCCUCUCCCUAGGCAGCAGACUGGUGGCACACGGGUCCUCUGGAGGGAAGGGGGCCAUAGCUGCCCCUUACUGACACCUGUUCAUUACACAUCUGUCCCUGGCCUUGCAUUGUCGCUAAUCCUCACAAGAAGCCUGUUUCACAGCGAAGUGGCUAAUUAGAUCAGCUUACCACACUUUGGAAGGAUCGGCCGGCGUAUUAAAAGAAUAAAUGAGAGCACGGAGUAGCUUUGACCAUGUGGAGUGGUGCGAUGGCCGUCAACAAGGCUCCCUCUAAUUUCCGUAGCAAGCAUAGGUGUCGUUCUAAAAGUGUGCACGGGACACUUCUCCUUACAUCCUUUUAACGCGACGGUGCCCGGGGCAGAGUGCAGCCUAGCAGUCCGCACAGCACCCCGUGGGCCCAGCAGGCUGAGAGGUAGAA